GACGAACGUUGGCGGCGUGCUUAAUACAUGCAAGUCGACUGAAGCAGUGGUAGCAAUAUCGCUGUGGAGGCGGCGCACGGGGGAGUAACACGUAGGUAAUCUGCCUUCAGGUCUGGCAUAACUCCGGGAAACCGGGGCUAAUAGCAGACGAUGCAGCGGCGCGACAUGGAGACCGUUGGUAAAGCUAUGUCGCCUGAAGAGGAGCAUGCGUCUGAGUAGCUAGUUGGCGGGUUGACGGCGCACCAAGGCAACGAUCAGUAGCUGGUCUGAGAGGAUGAUCAGGCACAGAGGAACUGAGACACGGCCGAGACUGCUACACGACGCAGCAGCAAGGAAGAUGGCGCAAUGGGGGAAAUCGUGAAGCAGGAACGACGCGUAAGGGACGAAGGGGUUUGGGUUGUGAAGCUCUGUAGGGAGAGAAACAAAUCCCAAUCUGUGGAACAUGAUGGUAUCUCAAGAGUAAGCCCCGGCUAACUACGUG
rnacentral:rRNA from 1 species